UAGGGAAUCUUCGGCAAUGGGGGGAACCCUGACCGAGCAACGCCGCGUGAGUGAAGAAGGUUUUCGGAUCGUAAAGCUCUGUUGUUAAGGAAGAACGAGUGUGAGAAUGGAAAGUUCAUACUGUGACGGUACUUAACCAGAAAGGGACGGCUAACUACGUGCCAGCAGCCGCGGUAAUACGUAGGUCCCGAGCGUUGUCCGGAUUUAUUGGGCGUAAAGCGAGCGCAGGCGGUUAGAUAAGUCUGAAGUUAAAGGCAGUGGCUCAACCAUUGUAGGCUUUGGAAACUGUUUAACUUGAGUGCAGAAGGGGGGAGUGGAAUUCCAUGUGUAGCGGUGAAAUGCGUAGAUAUAUGGAGGAACACCGGUGGCGAACGCGGCUCUCUGGUCUGUAACUGACGCUGAGGCUCGAAAGCGUGGGGAGCGAACAGG
rnacentral:rRNA from 1 species